CCAAAAAGGGAGGUUCGAGUAUGCGCCUUUUGCCUUUCCACCUUCUCCUUCUCAGUCCCAUUCUAAUCCGGGCCACGCAACUAUUAUUACUUAGCGGUCAUGCCGUAGGUAUGCUUUUUUUUUACCUAGUGUGCGCUUCCUGAGUCGAACCUUCAGUAAAAGCCGAAAAUUAUUAUCAAUUUUUCCGCUUGGACGUUUUUCAAUCAAAGCCUCUAGAAAGGUAUCUAUUUCCUCAGCGGUUUGAUUCGACUGACUGUGUUUCUCCUCCGAAAUAGAAAUCAUCAGGAAGCUAAUCUCCAUGGACGAAUUGUGAUUACCUACUGGCGAGAUCACUGACAGAAUGAUGAAUAAGGCUUCCGGGUUCGAUGAAAUAAAAGGCACCUGAAGUACCUUCAGAUACCGAGAUUUUCUUAGCUGGUAUAACUUGCUCUCCUCAUAUUCCAGUCUACUUAAUCGAACAAUGGUUGGCUGCUAGAUUUUUUCUUCUGAUAUCAAUCAUUCUCUGCUAUCGCAAUGGAUUUUGAGGAUCGCAUUCCCAAAUUAAUGGAGGAGCUUCAAGGGCAGCCGUGGUCCAAUCUGAGGACAAAGUUGGACGAUCUUUUGGAAGAUUUUCCAGAUGAAGAGAAAUCUGACAACAGAAGACUGAUAGAGACUAGAUGCGGGAAGCUAGAUAAAGCCGAUGUUGCUAUCUACGGUUGUUGUCCUGAGUUGGAAGAGUUAGUCGUUGUUCAAUGUAGAAUAUGCUCAAAAAUAGUCAAAGCUGAAGCAAUAGAAUAUCAUUAUGAAACAUGUCAUGAAGAGGCGCAUAAAUUAGUGGUUAAAGCAGUGGAAGAAAAGUGCACAUCCACGGCAGAAUUGAAGCAACUUCAAGAAACGCUCUCUACUUUUUCCGUUAAGCCUGCCACUACUGUGAAACCAGGGAAGCAGACUCCAUCGGGAAAAUCUACUAGCUUAAAAACUCCUGUUUCAAAAUCUAAAACGAAAUCGAAAAAACUGGUUAUUGAUCCAGUUGUCCCUUCCUCCUCCAAAGCCUUGUUCCCUCCUUCGCCGCAGUCAAAACCGAGUACCUCUCAAAGCAAGCUCCCCAUACCUGUGGCAAACUCACCUCAAAGUCAAAAGAACACUGUGAUACUCGAAGUAGAAAACCCAAAUUAGAGCCAGUCAUUUCACUCGUCAAGAUUGACGGCAAAGACGGGAGUACUGAGAAUGAAACCCCUCUGUCACCACCUCAACUGACACCGCAAGUCCAUGUUGCGCCUCCUGUCAUCCCUCCAACUAGUUCACACAUCAAAAUCCAGUCUAAAUCAAAGCCAUUGCGAAAUCGGAGCAGCAAUGGUGUCAACAGCACCACCGUCAUCCCUAACAUCAUUAGCCCAACAAAUAAUGUCGUCAGCAGUGUGACCAGCCCUAGUCCAAAGGUGGAAAUAGACUUAGACAAGCAUUGUGGUGUAGAAACAGAUGGUGUACAAUGUGCGCAGCUAUUAUCAU
rnacentral:lncRNA from 1 species